rnacentral:rRNA from 1 species
ACGAACGCUGGCGGUGCGCCUUAUGCAUGCAAGUUGAGCGAAGCUUUUUGGUAGUUUACUACUAGAAAUGACUGAGCGGCGAACGGGUGAGUAACGCGUGAGCAAUCUACCUUAGUUACUGGGAUAGCCCGAGGAAACUCGGAUUAAUACCAGAUAUUCUUAUUUUUUCACAUGAAGUUUUAAGGAAAGGUCAGCCGAACUAAGAUGAGCUCGCGUUCUAUCAGCUAGUUGGUGGGGUAAAAGCCUACCAAGGCAACGACGGAUAGCUGGUCUGAGAGGACGAUCAGCCACACUGGGACUGAGACACGGCCCAGACUCCUACGGGAGGCUGCAGCAGGGAAUAUUGUGCAAUGAGCGAAAGCUUGACACAGCGACACCGCGUGUGGGAUGACGGUUCUAGGAUUGUAAACCACUUUCAGGAGGGAAGAAAAUGACGGUACCUCCACAAGAAGACCCGGCCAACUAUGUGCCAGCAGCCGCGGUAAUACAUAGGGGUCAAGCGUUGUCCGGAUUUAUUGGGCGUAAAGAGCUCGUAGGCGGUUCAACAAGUCGGUCGUAAAAGUUUAGGGCUCAACCCUAAAAUGUCGAUCGAUACUGUUGUGACUAGGAUACGGUAGAGGUGAAUGGAAUUCCGAGUGUAGCGGUGAAAUGCGUAGAUAUUCGGAGGAACACCAAUUGCGAAGGCAGCUCACUGGACCGUGAUCGACGCUGAGGAGCGAAAGCUAGGGGAGCAAACAGGAUUAGAUACCCUGGUAGUCCUAGCUGUAAACGAUGGAUACUAGAUGUAGGAACUGGAUUGACGGUUUCUGUAUCGUAGCUAACGCGUUAAGUAUCCCGCCUGGGGAGUACGGUCGCAAGACUAAAACUCAAAGGAAUUGACGGGACCCCGCACAAGCGGCGGAGCAUGCGGCUUAAUUCGAUGAUACCCGUAGAACCUUACCUGGACUUGACAUAUAGGGAAAAACUGGAGAAAUCCAGUGUGCGUAAGCGCCCUUUACAGGUGGUGCAUGGCUGUCGUCAGCUCGUGUCGUGAGAUGUUGGGUUAAGUCCCGCAACGAGCGCAACCCCUGUCCUAUGUUGCCAGCAAGUAAUGUUGGGGACUCAUAGGAGACUGCCGGUGAUAAACCGGAGGAAGGUGGGGAUGACGUCAAGUCAUCAUGCCCCUUAUGUCCAGGGCUGCACGCAUGCUACAAUGGCAAGUACAACGAGUCGCAAUACCGCGAGGUGGAGCAAAUCUCUUAAAGCUUGUCUCAGUUCGGAUAGGAGUCUGCAACUCGACUCCUUGAAGUUGGAGUCGCUAGUAAUCGCAAAUCAGCAAAGUUGCGGUGAAUACGUUCUCGGGGUUUGUACACACCGCCCGUCAAGGGCG